GUAAUCACAGGUCAGCAUACUGUGGUGAAUACGUCCCCGGGCCUUGUACACACCGCCCGUCACACCAUGAGAGUUGAGAAUACCCGAAGCCCAUGUCAAAGUGGUCGAAGGUAGGCUUGAUGAUUGGGUGAAGUCGUAACAAGGUAAC
rnacentral:rRNA from 1 species